rnacentral:tRNA from 1 species
GGAGGGAUGGCUGAGUGGCUGAAAGCACCUCUUUGCUAAAGAGACGUACCGAUUAUAUCGGUACCGAGGGUUCGAAUCCCUCUCCCUCCG